AUUGAACGCUGGCGGCAUGCCUAAUACAUGCAAGUCGAGCGAGCGGCGGACGGGUGAGUAAUGUCUGGUAAACUGCCUGUUGGCGGGGGAUACCUACUGGAAACGGUUGCUAAUACCGCACACCAUCAGCUUUGCCCAGAUGGGAUUAGCUAGUAGGUGGGGUAACGGCUCAUCUAGGCGACGAUCCCUAGCUGGUCUGAGAGGAUGACCAGCCACACUGGAACUGAGACACGGUCCAGACUCCUACGGGAGGCAGCAGUGGGGAAUAUUGCACAAUGGGCGAAAGCCUGAUGCAGCCAUGCCGCGUGUGUGAAGAAGGCCUUCGGGUUGUAAAGCACUUUCAGCGGGGAGGCGUUACCCGCAGAGGAAGCACCGGCUAACUCCGUGCCAGCAGCCGCGGUAAUUC
rnacentral:rRNA from 1 species